rnacentral:rRNA from 1 species
UACGAAGGGGGCGAGCGUUGCUCGGAAUCACUGGGCGUAAAGGGUGCGUAGGCGGGUCUUUAAGUCAGGGGUGAAAUCCUGGAGCUCAACUCCAGAACUGCCUUUGAUACUGAAGAUCUUGAGUUCGGGAGAGGUGAGUGGAACUGCGAGUGUAGAGGUGAAAUUCGUAGAUAUUCGCAAGAACACCAGUGGCGAAGGCGGCUCACUGGCCCGAUACUGACGCUGAGGCACGAAAGCGUGGGGAGCAAACAGG